CCUACGUGCGGCAGCAGUAGGGAAUAUUGCACAAUGGGGGAAACCCUGAUGCAGCAACGCCGCGUGGAGGAUGAAGGUUUUCGGAUUGUAAACUCCUUUUGUUAGAGAAGAUAAUGACGGUAUCUAACGAAUAAGCACCGGCUAACUCCGUGCCAGCAGCCGGGGUAAUACGGAGGGGGCAAGCGUUACUCGGAAUCACCGGGCGUAAGGGCGCGGAGACGGGAUAGAAAGUCAGAUGUUAAAUCCUAUGGCUUAACCAUAGAACUGCAUUUGAAACUGUUAUUAUAGAGUAUGGGAGAGGUAAGUGGAAUUCUUGGUGUAGGGGUAAAAUCCGUAGAGAUCAAGAGGAAUACUCAUUGCGAAGGCGACCUGCUAGAACAUAACUGACGCUGAUGCGCGAAAGCGUGGGGAGCAAACAGGAUUAGAUACCCGUGUAGUC
rnacentral:rRNA from 1 species